rnacentral:rRNA from 1 species
GGUACGCGAGCUGGGUUUAGAACGUCGUGAGACAGUUCGGUCCCUAUCUGCCGUGGGCGUUGGAAGAUUGAAGGGGGCUGCUCCUAGUACGAGAGGACCGGAGUGGACGAACCUCUGGUGUUCGGGUUGUGUCGCCAGACGCAUUGCCCGGUAGCUAAGUUCGGAAUCGAUAACCGCUGAAAGCAUCUAAGCGGGAAGCGAGCCCUGAGAUGAGUCUUCCCUGAUACUUUAAGUAUCCUAAAGGGUUGUCGGAGACUACGACGUUGAUAGGUCAGGUGUGUAAGUGCUGUGAGGCAUUGAGCUAACUGAUACUAAUUGCCCGUGAGGCUUAACCAUACAACACCCAAGGGGUUU